rnacentral:lncRNA from 1 species
UUUCAUUAUUACAACAUUUUUCAUUUGUGACGAUGGGAGUUCAUAACUGAACCAAGGUCCAGUGGGCCCUUUUGCAGACGAGGCUUCCCUUCCUCCCCAGAGGGCUUUCUCUGGGAGAGAGUGGGGCAGAGCCUGGUUCAUCUGUGGGAGCAGAGCCAGAAACGGAGGACCAGGAAUCUCCGAGGAUCUCCGGUUACAUGAGAGAAACAGGAAGAGGAAGCUGAAUAAAUGAAUGGCUGCUGGAAUUGCUCCUGGAAAAGAAGUGACUCUUAUCGCAUGCCUUCUACAGAGAGCUGCGUGCUGGAACAGGCACAAUCUCACUGAUGCUCUCAUUUCAUCUCCACAACCCCAACAAGAGGGUGGAUGUAACAAACAGCCAUAGAAGAGUGUGUCGGUGUCAUUGGUGAAACUGAGAAUGCUAUUCACUAAGCCGCACAACUUUCCUUAUCUCAAGAUUCG